GAGACAUGGUGUCCAUGCAUCAGUUGUGUUCAUGGUAAUAUGUGUUUAUUUGUGUUGAUAGAUUACCGGUCUGGCUUAGGGGAUCAUGGCUACUCCAGAGAGACUCAGCGGCCUGCUGAGAUUCAGAAACUCCUUGUGGAAUUCCGGACCCUUUACCACGAGCGCCUUCGACGCAUUGACCAAUCGGAUGACAGCCGGGAGGAGGCUCUGCAGAGCAAGGUGGGCGUGCUACAGUCGUUUGUGCGGGACCUGAGUGAGCAGAAUGAGGUUCUGAUCCAGGCGCUGGAGGCUGAGGAGGCGGAGGGCCGGGCGGUGGAGGGGAGAACAGUCAGCUUACACAAAGAGCUGGAGUGGAGAAAUGGCAGACCAUUACAGGGAUGCGCAGACACACCUGUCUACCCAGGAUGCUAUACUUCAGCAGCUCAAAGAGGCCUGUCUAUCUCAGCAGGAAGCCCAGGUUAAAGUAAGUAUCCUGCACCUCCACUCAGCUCCAUUCACUGUUUGAAACAACAUCAGAGGAACUGGCCGUUACUGCAAGGAGCGG
rnacentral:lncRNA from 1 species